ensembl:lncRNA
GGCUUUCAGAGAAGACUUUUCGGCUGCUCUUCCUGGAAGACCCCACCCUGAUCAAUGAGGCUGCUGUCCCUCUGGAUGCUGCACAGACCCGCCCUUCUCAGCUCAACAGCGGGUUUGGCAGAGAAAGGACAUUUCCUUGGAAGAACAGAAGACCAUGCCCUGCAUGUGCUUCCAGGGAGGCAGUAGAGGGUCCAUGGGUAACUAUGAUUUUGGACAAGCCACCCUGGCCUCAAUUUCUUCAUCUGAAAAAUGGAACCACCAAUAUCUACUAUAUCUGGGCUUCCUAGAUGGCGCUAGUAGUAAAGAACUUGCCUGCCAACACAGGAGACUCAAGAGAUGUGAGUUCGAUCCCUGGGUCAGGAAGAUUUCCUGGAGGAGAGCCUGGCAACCCACUCUAUAUUCUCGCCUGGAAAAUCUCAUGGACAGAGGAGCCUGGUGGGCUACAGUCCUUGGGGUCACAAAGAGCCAGACACGACUGAGCGGCUGAGCACCCACCACCCAGCUUAUUUACUCCCUCUGGCCCUCAGUCUGGGCUUUCAGGAUUGGCCGGGGGCAGGGAAUGCUGACCGGACCAUCUCGGGGGCCCCACCAUACCCAACUGAGCCACUGGGUGCCCCCACACUGGCUCUCUCUCCCCCAGCCUGUACCUCCUCCACCCUGACCCUGCACAUGGAGGCUCUGGAGGCUGAACCAGCUACCCACUCCCCAGGGACCGUCCUAGAGGCUCCCUUCCCUCCAGGUGCCAGCUGACAGAGCAAUCCUUCUUUCUCCCACAGCCCCUGGUAGGGGCCCUCCCUCUCCAGCAGGGCACAGGAAAGUGACUCAGUCCAUACAGCCCCCUCCUCAGACUCACACUUACAGUCUUGCUUUGGAAAAAGGGUGGUUUUCAUUUCUUCUUUUUUUUUUCUUUUCCUUCAAGUGCCCUUACUCUUCUGUCCCUGGGCUGUCUCUCCCACGGGCCUCUGUGGUCUGGGCAAGGAGUCUGUGGCCAGCCCUUCUCCAUCAGCUCCUGGCGGAGGGUCUUGCCAUCAGGGCGGGCUGUGUGGCCCUACUGUGCGUGGUGGGAAAGAGGCUGGCCUCUGGAGGCCCCAGCUGGCCCCCUAUUAUAUUGGCUUCUAUUAAACUGAAACACAUAGCACAUCUAUUACACAAUAAACCACAGCUAUUUCAUGGAUCAAAUUAAGUUUUAUUUGGGCAAAUUACAACCUUUCCUACAGUCGUGCCUUUGUGAGGCCAUUCCUUUUUAAUAAAAGCAAGCAUUUCUGGGGCUAGCCCUCCUGGACCCGAGCUCCAUGGUGGGUUGGGGGCUCCGGCCAGGGCUGGCAAGGGUGUAUGUGUGUGUGUGAUGGGGAUUCUUGGGGCCCCUCUUGGGAAUGGAUUUGUCCACCUUCUCCCCCUGCCUCUCCAUCCUGAGGUUGCCAUGGAAGUCUGCAGAGAACUUCUCAUUAAACAAGAAAAAAAGCAGCAGCAACAGGAGGAAAGCAUUUCCCGGAAUCCGGGAGGAAGCGUGAGUCACCCGGCCUGCUAAGUGAGCCCUGCGCGGCCACUGCAGCGCCUGCCCAG